rnacentral:lncRNA from 1 species
GUUGUGUGCGUUGUUUUGUUUUUUUGAGAUAGGGUUUGCUUUGCCGUACUGUUGGCUUGGUCCUGGUUACAUAUCCUAGGCUGACCUUAAACCUCUGAUAAUCUUUCUUCCUUGGUCUCCCAAGUGCUGAGAUAACCGUUGUAGGCUACCAUGCUCAUUUUCCUGUGUUUAUUGAACAAGCUGUAGUUGAAGGCUUAAUAAAGGAACCAAUUGGCCAGACAUGUAGUGCACACCUUCAAAACCAGCUCUGAGGAUGUCUGAGAAGCAGACAGAAUCUCAGUUCAAGGCCUGGAUUGUAUAAAAAUUCAGGCUAGGCAAGGCUACAUAGCAAGACACUCUCAAAAAAGAGAGGAGCAGUUGAAGCUGGUGAUAACUUCUCCUUUGAUUAGGCCACCAGGAAACCCUCCACGAAGAAUGGGUCGGAUCAGUCACCUUCGUGGCCCCAGCCCUCCUCCAAUGGCCGGUGGAUGAGGAAGGUAAACGUCUGCUCUGAGAAGCAGACAACUAGACAUACACGCCUAGAAGGGAACCAUCAAGAGGUGAGGAGCGGCUCAUGAGGAGAAGAUGGUGUAUGUCCAAACAAGGACUGCUCUGUGUCCUCACAGAAGAAUGAGGUCAUGCUGGGAACUCCCUCUGCAGGAUCUGGCCUGACUGAUGUGCAGUUCUAUAAAUGUACAUGUGUGUCUCCUUAUCUGUUUUGUAUAGUUCACUAAAGUUAAUAUAGAUUUAAGAAGUAAAUAUUUUUAGGUUGCAAAACUUGAUUCUUCAUCUUUAUAUGAUUAUACCCAAAAUCCUUGAUCUGGAAGAAAUAAAGGCCAUGUAGUUAGUCCUGGAUUUUUUUGUUUGUUUGUUUGUUUGUUUGGUUGGUUGGUUGGUUGGUUUUGGGGGUUUUGGGUUUUUGGGUUUUUUUUUUGUUGUUGUUGUUGUUGUUGUUGUUUUUGGUGUUUUUGUUUUUUUUUUUUUUUUUUUGGGUCUGGCUUUUCUGAGCCACCGUGCCCUUCUCCAGUGUAUAUCGUCCUGUUAAUGUUGCCUUUCCUCGGCUUUUGAAACACUGCUCACUGUUGCUUUGCUCUCAUUUGUAAAUAAACCACAAUGCAGUUAC